AAGCACUGGGAUAAAAUCCUGCACGCCGCGCGCUCCUCGUCUUCCACCUCUGCUCCUCCCGCGCUUAGCUCUUGGUGCGGAUCUCCUGGCCGGUUCACAACUUCUAGCUCGUCAAGCUCGUCCCCAUGGCGCGCCAGUUCGGAUUUCCCUCCCUGCCACUCGGCCUUGCCCCCUGCUCACCCCUGCAACCCUGCCGAGCCCUAACCCCAGCCAGCCGAGCUCAGGCGCCCAAUCCAUGGCGCACCCAGCCGCGCCCUUGUCCAUCUGCUCGGCCGCGAGCUUCCCUGCUCCCGUGGUUAUCGAAGCUCCAGGUGCGCACGUACGCACUGAAGCCUUUGGGGUCCAUGACGAUAUCGUGGAGAGCCGCAGCGUUGUCGCUCGCGUGCCUCGUCGCCGUGACAACGGCGCUGGUGGACGGCGCGCUGCUCCCCGAACUCGCUCUGCGCUCGGCUUCUUCUCCGUGGAGCUCGCCUCUGCGCCUGACUCCUGCUCGUCGAAUCUCCAGCCGCGCCGUCGCCUUGCUGCUCGCCAGCGUCUUCUCUGCCCCUGCGCAUCCAUGGCGAUUUCCCCUGCGGCAGCUUCCUCGGCGCGCAGCCUCCCUCCCAGCUCAGCCGCCUGCUUCUCUCCACUGCUCGUCGCGCCCAGCUACAGCUCGCCGUGCCCUCGCCGCUCCCUUCUCCUCCUCUGUUUGCCCAUCUCCAUGGCUGCCGUCGAAGGCUCGAAGCUUCCUGGCACGCUCGUUGUGCUCUGGUCGGAGGAGGAUUUGCUGCGCGCCCAAAUCUUCUUCCUCCCAUUCCCAGCUCCCUCUGCUCGCGACGUGCGCCCAGCGAUGGAGUCUCGCGGUGCUCCUGUUCCCUGUCUAUCGCGCCAUCGAUCCCGCCUGAGCCCCUUCGCGUUCGUGGAAGCUCCCUGCCGUCGCUCAGCUCACCGGCGUGCGUCCUGCUCCUUAUGCGCCCAGCGCCGUGCGCCGGAAAGUCCCUGCGCGCAAGCUAUAUGUUGGCCGCGCGCGAAGCUAUCUGUUCGUCGUCAUCGCUCGGUCGCGCGACAGGUGGACUGUGUGUUGUGUGUCGCACAUCCUAGGUCCUUGUAGUCGUGUCGUACGUGCAACAGUCGCGGAUCUGUGCCGCCUUGGUCUUGUUGUCGACAUCGUUCGCCGUGGCAUAGUCGUGGAACUUCCUCGGCGCCGCGCACGUCAGAUCGUUGGGUCGCGUCUUGCUCGGCUCUCAUGCCAUUGAUUUUGGCUCCGGUGCGGGCUCUUCUCUGGUGCUUGUCGGCCUCGCCGUCGUUGUCGUGACCGUGAGUCCUGUUGUCUCCCUGCGUCGGUCUCUACCUGUGCUCAAGUCAUGCCACUAGUACCCUCGCCGUGGAACUGUUCGUCACCAUGCUCGACAAGCUCUAGUCGCACGCGUGAAUUUUCUUCGCUCGGCUUUAAUUCCCAAUCGCGUCGUCGAUUUCGCCGGUUAGCGUCGUUCGUCGUCGCAUCGCGUGUGUAGCUCUAUAUAUGUCACCCUCCUAUGUCGUCGUCGAUCCGUGCGUCAGCAAGAAAUCUCAAGAGUCGGGUGAAGACGGAAUUAGCAGCGUGGUGUUCACCAAGUGCGCGACAAAAAGCUCGAACAUCCUGCACGACUCAGGUUCGAUUCAUCAAAAUUAUUCAGUCGAAGAAAAGAUCUUCAACAAUUGAUUACCGAAGAAAAGAAAGCCCCUGGAUGAGGUCAACCGGAACCGUCGUCGUACUUGCGACUAUUGUGUCGAAUUAGUCUGGGUAAGUUGAUUCGUAUUCCAGUCAACUAAGCCUAUAAAUAGAUUAAAUAGAAUUGUUGGUCGCAAUAAAUCUUAUUAAUUUAGCAUGUGUAUAUUGUGAUGAUCGAUUUAGAUAAACCGGUAAAUCAAGUAAUUAGGAUACAUAGUUUAAAGAGUUCAUAAAAAGCUAGGAAUAAAAAUAGAUUUUCUAGUGUAUUUGGGUCAAUUUGGUUAAUGGAUGUAGUCGAUGCUCUGCUGUGAUAUCCAUGAUGCUUAAUGCUUGAUUUUAAAGUGUUUCAUCCUUUUAGUGUAGAUUAUCUAUAUUAUACUCGUUAUACAUGUACUCAUACAUGUGCAUCGUGCAUCUCAUGAGGUACGAUAAAUUAAUCACGUGAGGCGGAAGCCAAGCCAAGUCGACCUCAGGCGCGGACUAAUUUGCAAGAUGAUGCUGAUGGACGAACCGGAAGAUGGAUAAUCUGAACAAGUGCCAAGCCCAAGGAUGAUCGUCAAGUGGACGUCACCUAACAACACUAACCUAGUGUUACCCAGGUUUUAACUUUGUGCUGCUGUUGAUGGUGUUAAGUGCCGGUGGGCUCGGCCUUCUUAUAGGUUUAAGUAGCUCUCCUAUACUUCUUAUUGAGGAUGGUCACUUGAGCUAGCAUAUAUUUCAAACUUAUACUUUUGUAAUCACUUCGAUAAAAUAAUGUAAAAUUUUUGUAACUUGUAAAAUUUGGUAAUAAGAUUUCCG
rnacentral:misc_RNA from 1 species